CUUGAAACGAACUUUGUGCAUGCUGAAUACUUAGCUGGUGCUGGAGCUGGUCGUACGUUUGCUAAAUGCUAGCGUUGUAGCAGUAAAAAAAGCAAAAAUAAUAACCGCUAACAGCAAAUAAGCCAGCCAUCUAGUAGCGUUCGCUAGCAAACAAGUAAGUUGGCAAUAGCAUGAGCCAAGCGCUGGAAGACCUCAUUUACGCACACAUGCAUAAAUAUCAAUAAUCAACUUGCUUAUGGUGUGUUGGUGAAGCCACACAGGCUUUUCAGAAGGCUCUGCGAAACGGAUAUGGCACACAUACAAGCACAGUUUAACAUGCAUGUGUGGGCAUACUCGUAAAGCUUCUGCACGGAUAUGCGUCAAAAAGCCGCGCAACCGAUCGAUAAGUUGUUGGCGAACGACAGGAUCUGCUGGCAGAUGAGUUUUGUGCGCCGGUAUAGCAGGUUGGGCGUUUAUAAAUUUAUUAAAUAAUAAAAUGUAGCUGAUUUUUAACAGUUCCAUAAGUAUACUAGCACUGUCUGUGUGCCUCCUGUAAAAUCGAGUGAACUAUUUAUUAGAAUAUUCGACAGACAUUUUUUUUUGAGGGAAUAAUAUUUAUUUUGCUUUAAAAAUUAAUAACAAUAUUUGUUAUAUAUUUCAUAUUCCAAAUUAAUUAAAUAUGAUUAUAUCCGAAAAAGUUUAAAAAUCCCAAUUUUCUGUUAUUAUUCGAAAAAAAACUGCCGAUUAAAAUCACGAUUCAACCGAAAUUUGAGUAAUUGUAAACUAAAUCCUUUGAAGCAAAAUUUUUCUGAUACAGAAAUUUAGUUUCUAGUGCAACUUGUUACUUCCAAAGCUGUUUCAAAACUUGGUAUAUGUCGAUAGGUGAUAACGCUGGUUCAAAAUACGUCCAGAACUAUUUAAGGUAUUUUUAACCAUCUUAUACCUGGCAUACAUUUUGUUAAACUUAUUUAGCUUAGCUUUAUGUUUUCGAUUUUUUAUUCCAAAACAUGUCAAAGUUAGAGACUUCUUAAGAGGUUACAUGAGUUUCCUCGAGCCAAAAGCGAUACAUAUUUUACAUAGGUUUUGUGAAUGUCUCAAAGGAAAAUGCUCAAAACUCCGCCAUUACGACAUCAUUUCCGGCAGUCUCUCGGAAAUAAGAUGGAUCGAUUUUACAGGAUC